rnacentral:rRNA from 1 species
UACGGGGGGGGGCAAGCGUUGUUCGGAAUUACUGGGCGUAAAGGGCUCGUAGGCGGCCAACUAAGUCGGAUGUGAAAUCCCCAGGCUUAACCUGGGAACUGCAUCCGAUACUGGAUGGCUUGAAUCCGGGAGAGGGAUGCAGAAUUCCAGGUGUAGCGGUGAAAUGCGUAGAUAUCUGGAGGAAUACCAAUAGCGAAGGCAGCUCGCUGGGACGUUACUGACACUAAGGCGCGAAAGCGUGGGGAGCGAACAGG